UUGGAGGGCAAGUCUGGUGCCAGCAGCCGCGGUAAUUCCAGCUCCAAUAGCGUAUAUUAAAGUUGUUGCAGUUAAAAAGCUCGUAGUUGAACUUCGGGGUUUACCCAUUGGUCAGGCUUAAUUGUCUGCACUGGUGAGAUGAAUCUCUACCUUCUGAGGAACUUUCAUGCCAUUUAUUUAGUGUGAUGGGAAAUCAGGACUGUUACUUUGAAAAAAUUAGAGUGUUUAAAGCAGGCUAACGUCUGAAUACAUUAGCAUGGAAUAAUGAAAUAGGACGGACUGAUUCUAUUUCGUUGGUUUCUAGGAUCACCGUAAUGAUUAAUAGGGAUAGUUGGGGGCAUUAGUAUUCAAUUGUCAGAGGUGAAAUUCUUGGAUUUAUUGAAGACUAACUACUGCGAAAGCAUUUGCCAAGGAUGUUUUCAUUAAUCAAGAACGAAAGUUAGGGGAUCGAAGACGAUCAGAUACCGUCGUAGUCUUAACCAUAAACUAUGCCGACUAGGGAUCGGACGAAGUUAAUUUUAUAAUGACGCGUUCGGCGCCUUACGGGAAAC
rnacentral:rRNA from 1 species